ensembl:lncRNA
NNCGGGGAGGUGCAUGCACAGGCUUGGGUGGGCGUGCACACGUGUGUGCAGGGCUGUGUGCAAGGAUGUGCAUGCACAGGGGUGUUCGUUGUCUGUGCGUGCACACAUGUGUGCAGAAAUGUGUGUGCGGAUGCACAUGCGCAGGUUUGGAUGUGCUUGCACACGUGUGUGCAGGGAGGUGCCUGCCCAGGAUUGGGUGUGUGUGCACACGGGUGUGCAGGGCUGUGUACAGGGAUGUGCAUGCACAGGGGUGUUUCCCGGUGGUGCGUGCACAAGUGUGUGCAGGGAGGUGCAUGCACAGGGGUGUUUGCCGGCGGUGUGUGCACACGUGUGUGCAGAAAUGUGUGUGCAGAGGCACAUGCACAGGUUUGGAUGUGCUUGCACACGUGUGUGCAGGGAUGUGCAUGCACAGGCUUGGGUGUGCAUGCGCACGGGUGUGCAAGGAUGUGCAUGCACAGGGCUGUUUGUUGGCUGUGUGCGCACACGUGUGUGCAGAAAUGUGUGCACAGAUGCACACACGCGGGCUUGGGUGUGCAUGCACCUGUGUGCGCAGGGAUGUGCAAGCACAGGGGUGUUUGCUGGCUGUGUGUGCACAGGAUGUUGGGAUGUGCACGCACACGGGUGUGCGUGGAUAUGCAAGCCCAGGCUUGGGUGUGCGUGCACACGUGUGUGCAGGGCUGUGUGCAGGGAUGUGCAUGCACAGGCUUGGGUGUGCAUGCGCACAGGUGUGCAAGGAUGUGCAUGCACAGGGGUGUUUGCUGGCAGUGCAUGCACAUGUGUGUGCAGAAAUGUGUGUGCAGAUGCACAUGCGCAGGUUUGGAUGUGCUUGCACACGUGUGUGCAGGGAUGUGCCUGCAGAGGGGUGUUUGUUGGUCGUGCGUGCACACGUGUGUGCAAAAAUGUGUGCAGGGGCUGCAUGCAUGGACUUGGAUGUGCGUGCGGAUGUGUGUGCAGGGCUGUGCAAGCACAGAGGUGUUUACUGGGUGUGUGUGUGUGUGCAAAGGAUGGUUGGAUGUGCAUGCACACGUGUGUGCAGGGAUGUGCCUGCAGAGGGGUGUUUGUUGGUCGUGCGUGCACACGUGUGUGCAAAAAUGUGUGCAGGGGCUGCAUGCAUGGACUUGGAUGUGCGUGCGGAUGUGUGUGCAGGGCUGUGCAAGCACAGAGGUGUUUACUGGGUGUGUGUGUGUGUGCAAAGGAUGGUUGGAUGUGCAUGCACACGUGUGUGCAGGGAUGUGUAUGUGCAGGCUUGGGUGUGCGCGCACACGUGUGUGCAGAGAGUUGUGCAGGGCUGUGCAAGCACAGAGGUGUUUACUGGGUGUGUGUGUGUGUGCAAAGGAUGGUUGGCUGUGCGUGCACGGGUGUGUGCCGAGGUGUGCAUGGGCGUGCCUUCACCGGGACGUUUGUUGGCUGUGCGUGCACACGUGUGUGCAGGGAGGUGUGCAAGGCUGUGCAAGCGCAGGGGUGUUUGGGGGUGGGCGCAGGGCGGUGCGUGCAAAGGCUGCUUGGAUGUGCACGCACACGGGUGUGCAGCGAUGUGUGCGUGGAUGUGCAUGGCCAGGCUUGGGUGUGUGUGCACACGUGUGUGCAAGGGUCUGCCCGCCCCGGGCUGUGUGUUGGGUGUGGGUGCACACGUGGGUGUGCAGAAACGUGUGCACGGCUGUGCAGGCGCGUGCUGGAGCGUGCCUGCCUGGGGGUGUGCGUGUGCGUGCAGAGGUGUGCGCAAGGGUGCACGGGCGCAGGGUUGUGUGUUGGCGGGGCGUGCACACGUGCGUGCGGAAACGUGUGCAAGGCGGCGCUUGCCCGGGGACGGCUGGAUGCUCAUGGGUGCGCGCACGGGUGUGCACGCAGAGGGCGAGCGCAGGCACGUGUGCAGGGCUGCGCGCGCACGUGGACGUCUGUUGGAGGCGCAUGCACACGCGUGUGCAGGAAUGGGCGCGUGCAGAAACGUGCGGGCGCAGGUGGGGCU